GUAGCUGAUCUUGUGUAAUUUCCUAAUAAUGAAUAUGGAUAGCUGUUCAUUGGAUUUGGAAUAAAAUUUUGCUGGAAUGCAAAUGAAUGUUUGAGGAUAUGAUUGUUCAUGAUGUUGAUUUUUGUUUUCCAUUGAUGUUAAGAAUAAACGAAAUGAGGCUGUGUUUUAUUGGAGUCAUGGGUUGAGAUGCAUGGGUGAUAGGAUCAAUGCUUGAAAGUGGAGAUCUUGGUACAACAGGUUGAUGGGGUUGACAAGGGUGAUAUUUUGCCUUGGUGAUGGAGUGUGAAUAAAGUUAGCAGGUAAGGGUGUUAAGGG
rnacentral:lncRNA from 1 species